ensembl:lncRNA
CCAGCUUGCACUUAUCCCUACACAAAGGGAAGGAAGUGGGAAAACCAGCUACCAGAGCUAACCAAAGAGGAGAAAAUGCUAUCUCCAAGAGAUACCAAUCAGAAAGCAAACCAGGGGCUGGAGAAACAGGGCAAGGAUUUAAAGUAUGUGCUGCUCUUCGAGAGGACCCAAAUUUGGUUCCCAGAACCUAUGUCAGCUGGGGAUCCGAUGCUCUCUUGGCCUUCAAGGGCAUCUGCACAAUGUGAAUGCACUCAUACAGACAUAACAAAUAUACAUAAAUAAAAAUAUGUAAACUGGGUGGUGGUGACACACGCCUUUAGUCCCAGCACUCGGGAGGCAGAGGCAGGCGGAUCCCUGUGAGUUCCAGGCCAAGUUUGGUCUACAGCACGAGUUCCAGGACAGCCUCCAAAGCUACAGAGAAACCCUGUCUUGGAAAAACAAACAGACAAACAAAACAACAACAAAAAACAACACACACACACACAAAACAUUCACACUCAGCACACAGACCCAGACUAUCCAAAACUCCACUUGGUAACCUUAGAUAGCUCUGAACUUCAACUCUUCAGUGUCUUUACUUGUAAAAGGAUGGUCCUAAUCAUACCAAUCCCGAGGAGUCUUGCUGGGAUUCUAAGAUACGGCAUAUGAACCAGCAGGGUCAGUAUACAAAAGGUGGCUGCUUCCGAAUCAGCGCCCCUGACCAAGCAGCCACUGUUUCCGCAGCUGGACUGCAGCUGGCACCGCAGUUACUGUUUCACGUGUAUGGAGCCUGGCUUCUGGCUGCCUCUCCAGAAACACAGCUUCCCAGCCUUUUUGGACUCUUUCACUUUUGCCCUCUGCAGCUUUCAAACUCCAGGUCCAGAAGGCCACAUACAAUUCACACCUGAGGCCCAUCUUCAGCGUUCCCCUCCUCACCAGCAUUAGCCUCUCCCCUAGACCAGGGGGCCCAGAGAAGGCCAGGGGAUGGUCCAAGGCCUUAAUUGCCUCCCCGCCCCUCCAGGACAAAGAGGGAGGGCUUCUCAGAGACGGAGAUGGGAAAGGGCAGUGUGCGCCAGUCCUGAUGCAAUCGUCCUCGGAUUUCUUGGCCCACUUCCUCCUUCUCAAGUGUUUACUGAAGCCUGAAUUCCACAGAAACCUCUGCAAGUGUGCACUGACAACAGUGGCGGGCAGGAUGCAUAACUGCCCUGGCUCCAGGGACAGUUUAGGAAGAAAUGAUCCUGUGCCCUGGGCUCAGGGACGCUGGCGAGAGAAAUCCAGUGUCGGGAAUCCAGUGGGAGGGGCGAGGAUGGUAGGCUGAAGGAAGAGGCACCGCUGAGGGGCUGACUUCUGCUUCGUGCCAGAUCCAGCUUCCAGAACCCGCUCUGGGGAAGCUAAUAGACUCUUUAUCUAAGCUGUGUAGAGGAGGCUACCACAAGGGGUCUUCCAGUGAUGGGCGCCUCAGAAGCAGCUUAGAGGCGCAUCUCUUCCCUGUCAGCCCAACUAGCGGAAAAGCAGCUUCUUGGAAGGGGACACUUGGUCCUCAGCCGUAGUCUUGGCUGGGUCUCCUGGAGACAUUCUUAGAAGAGCAGGGCGCAUAGUGGUUCCGGACAUGGGAUGUGGGAAGUUAUUUGCUAGCUGCCCCAGGCAAGCGAUUUCAUCUGACAGACUCUCACCUUCGUCCUGGCAAAAGACAAAUGGUGAAAGCUCACCUCACAGACCGGCCUCUGGGCCGCAGAGCCUUUCCUUGGCAAUGUUACAAUCUCUCAAUAGCCCAUUAGAGCUGUAACCCUUUAAUACUGUUCUCCAUGUUGUGGUGACCCCACACACACAUACCAU